CUCUGGGAGAGUUUAUAGUCCUGACACUUGAACACUGGAUGACUGACAGCUGUCCUUCAUCACAACACAACACACACAAAUCCUCCUCCUCAUCACAAACAUGACUCUGAUCUGCGUCCUCAUCUGGACUCUCCUCUGCUGCUGCUUCACAGAGUCCAGAGGACAGGUCACAGUGACUCAGCCUGCAGCAGUGAGCUCUGCUCUGGGGGGCUCUGUCACCAUCUCAUGCAGGACCAGUCAGGAUGUCUACAGUGAUAGUGAUGGUGAUCACUAUUUAGCCUGGUACCAACAGAAAGAUGGAGAAACUCCUAAACUCCUCAUUUACUUUGCUACCACUCGAGAAUCAGGGAUUCCAGAUCGUUUUUCAGGCAGUGGAUCAGGCUCUUCCUUCACUCUGACCAUCAGUGGAGUCCAGGCUGAAGAUGCAGCAGUUUACUACUGUCAGAGUUAUCAUGAGAUCAACAGUCAGUAUGUGUACACGUUCGGUGGAGGAACCAGACUGGAUGUUGGAAGUGAUGCACGUCCCACCCUGACGGUGCUGCCCCCCUCCCAUGAGGAGCUGCAGCAGGGUACCACGGCCACGCUCAUGUGCCUGGCCAACAAGGGCUUCCCCUCAGGCUGGAGUCUGGCCUGGAAGGUGGACGGCAGCAGCAGCAUCAGCGGGGAGGAGAGCAGGAGCCCUGCGGUGCUGGAGAGGGACGCUCUCUACAGCUGGAGCAGCACCCUGAGGAUCACUGCAGACCAGUGGAGGAAGCUGGGCUCUGUGACCUGUGAGGCCACCCAGGGCUCCCAGACUCCAGUCACAGAGACUCUGAGGAGAGACCAGUGUACCCAGUUCUGAUCUGACUCACUGGGACUCUGCUACUGGUUUUACUCUCAUGGUGAUUUUUCUUCUCAGUCUGUGAACAAAAAUGUCUUUCUGUCUCUGUCUUUGAUUUAAUGAUUCAUCACAAGCUUUUCUUCCCUCUUGUAUGUUUGAUGUUUAAAAUGGCAAAAAUAAUAAAAUUUGAAUUCCA